rnacentral:lncRNA from 1 species
UGCUGCUCAUUUAAUCAGUAGAAUUCCUUAUUUCUGAAAUUUCUGUUUUGCACCUUUACAUGGACUAUAUUUAUUUGAUAAAUUUGUCAUUGAUGUUUUGAAUAAAUUUAGUCAGCUAUUCUAAUUUUUUGUUUUUCCAUAACCACAUUGAUCAGUUUGUUAGUUCCACUGUCUUUUGGUUAUGUCAUCUUUGAGCUUGCUGAGUUUCUCUGCUUCUUCUUUAAUUAGUUCAUGCAGCACAGCUAUUUGGUGUUUGAUUUCCUCUGCAUUGGUGCCCCUUGGAUCUGCUUUGGGAGGGUUGAGAGUCUUUGAAGCUACACUUACUGGUGGACACCAGAGGUAAUAAAGCAUUUACCACUGCCUUAUGAUGAAGUUAUCUGUGCUGCAAACUUAAAGAAAUUGAUAGUGAAGAAAUUUCACAGAUAUGAAGAAGAGAUUGAUAUCCACAAUGAAUUCUUUCGGCCGUAUGAACUGAGCAGUUUUGAUGAUACUUUUUGCUUGGCUAUGACAAGUUCUGCACGUGACUUUAUGCCUAAGACUGUUGGCAUCGAUCCAAGCCCAUUCACUGUGAGGAAACCAGAUGAAACUGGAAAAUCAGUGUUGGGAAACAAAGCCAAUAGAGAAGAAGCCAUAUUGCAGCGGAAAACAGCAGCCAGCGCCCCGCCACCUCCCAGCGAAGAGGCUGUGUCCAGCAGUUCCGAUGAUGACUCUGGGACUGACCGUGAAGAGGAGGGCUCUGUGUCUCAGCGUUCCACCCCUGUGAAGAUGACCGACACAGGAGACAGUGCCAAAGUGACCGAGGUGCUGGGCAAGGGAAGUUCAUAUGAGAGCAAAAAAAUGUCACAUUGUCUCACUCCCUGUGUGGUGCCUGAGGCACCACCCAAGAAUAUGGUCCAGCCCAUGAAAGAGGUAUAUGGAAUUAACCUCUCAGAUGGCCUUUCAGAAGAAGAUUUCUCUGUUUAUUCAAGAUUUGUACAGCUGGGGCAGAGUCAACAUAAACAAGACAAGAGCAGCCAGCAGCUCUGUUCCAGGUGCUCUGUUGGAGUUAUAAAAUUAACACCUAUCUCAGCUUUUUCACAAGACAGCAUCUAUGAAGUUCAGCCCCCCAGAGUAGACAGAAAAUCUACAGAGAUCUUCCAGGCCCACAUCCAGGCCAGUCAAGGGAUCAUGCAGCCCCUAGGAAAGGAGGACACUUCCAUGUACCGAGAGUACAUCAGAAAUCGAUACCUGUGAGGAGUGCAGGGCCAUGGGGGCCCUGAGAGGGACCGAGGAAGUCACAUUAUAAUCUGCUCUGUCUCAUCUGAAAGAAGUAAUUUUCCAAAUUCCUUUGCAUCUGAAGUUUUUUCCUCUUUUUGUACCAUAUAAAUUAAAAAAUAUAAUAAAGAAAUGGUUGAAUAUUUUGCUGUCAUUUUCUUUGGUUUCGUUUAUUUAUUCAUUCAUUUAUUUGGUUCUUUGAGACAGGGUCUUACUGUGUAGUUCAGGCUGGCCUUCAACUUGAGUGACCCUCCUGCCUCAGCCUCCAUAGUGCUGGGAUUACAGGCAUGUGCCACCACACCUGGCUGCUUUUACUUUAUUUUAGAAAUGCUUUAUUUAGAAAUGUGGUAAUAUAGUAUCUUAGCAACACAUUAUGAAGUUUACAUGGACUUUGUGAGUAUCCACUGUGUACUAGGCACUAUGGUAAGACCUAAGAAUAUCACAGUGAACAAAACAAGACAUAACAUUCUUCUCUAAGGUGGAAUGACAACAAAGUAGUUUUCUUAUCCUUAUCCAUGAAGGCAAAAUGGUUUUCUUUAUGGUGAUUUUUUUUGUAUUUGUUCUAAUGGUUUUAUGUUAACUUUGUAUUUUGACUUUAAAAAAGUUCAUUGCCCUGAAAACCCUUGUUUUGGGGAAAUGAUCAGUGAAAUAUUAAUGAAUAAAGGGAUAAGAUGUCAAUAAAGUGCUCUCCAGUGGUUCAGGGAAAAGAAUAUGUCAUAAGCAAAUGGAGUAAAACAUAAUAAUCGAUAAAUCUGAGUAAAGAGCCUAUUGAAGUAUUCUUUGAAUUACUCUUGAGAGUGUUUCCAUAAGUAUAAAAUUAUAUCAAAGUAAAACAUUAAAAUUGCUGUUCUGGCUGACUUUUAGUGUGCAGUUAUGUUACCUCAUCUGACACCACCAUCCAGGAGGUGCUGUUGGUUAUAUGCACAACUGCUUGUUUUCCAUGUAGUCAAACACUAAUGUGACAGCUGUCUGUGUUUUCUAACAGUUUCACACAGAGGAUUUGUCUCAUCAUGCAUAUGCAUUUAUCACAAAUGGUCUCACUCUUCCCUCCCAAAAAAUAACAUAGAGAAGGGAACCAAGCCAUCUAAUGGGAGAAGAAAAGUGACCAUUUACAGAUCACAUCCUUAAGAUGCUGGGAUGCUAUGCACGGUUUUACAUUGGAAAUAGAUAGAUGUUAAGUCCCCAUUUAACAGAAGUUUUUGAUGCCAUCAUGAAAUCAAAAGUGGAGAAUGACACCAUAACAGCUAAGAAGGAUUUUGUAUUGACACAGUUUAAAUCUCUAACACAGCUCACAUGAGUCUUCCCAAGUCCUGAGUAACUGCAGAGGUGCCUGUGUUAGUUACUUUUCUCACAUUGCUGAGACAAAAUACCUGAUACCCAAAGUUAGAGGGGAAGAGGUUCAUUUGGCUUAUACUUUGUAGAGGUUUCAGUCCAUAAUCGGCCGGCUCUGAGGCUGGGAUGGCAAACAAGCAUCACAGAGGAGAAACGACAUGGCACACACAAGGUUGCAAAGGCAACAAGAGAGUUAACAGCAUCUUUCUGUCCCUUUUAUUUUAUUCAGACUACCGGGAUUAGGGCGGUGUCAAACAAAUCGCUCACAUAUAGUGGUUUAGUAAUCACACACCCUUAACCCCAGCGUGUCACACAUUCCAGAUUCAACUACCUCUGAAAAAGAAAGUCCCAUCUCAUCUGCAUGAAGCUUUGGGGAGACAUCUGAGCACAACCCAUAACAGUGCCAGUGCCAGUUAUAGAUCAGACACUGAUCUUCAUUUUAUGAAUGUUAUUUUAUUUAUUUAUUUAUUUUUUGUACCGGGGAUCAAACUCAGGUCCUUGCGCUUGC